GUGGGGAAUUUUGGACAAUGGGCGCAAGCCUGAUCCAGCAAUGCCGCGUGCAGGAAGGAGGCCUUCGGGUUGUAAACUGCUUUUGUACGGAACGAAACGGUCCGGGUUAAUACCCUGGGCUAAUGACGGUACCGUAAGAAUAAGCACCGGCUAACUACGUGCCAGCAGCCGCGGUAAUACGUAGGGUGCAAGCGUUAAUCGGAAUUACUGGGCGUAAAGCGUGCGCAGGCGGUUUUGUAAGACAGGCGUGAAAUCCCCGGGCUCAACCUGGGAAUUGCGCUUGUGACUGCAAGGCUGGAGUGCGGCAGAGGGGGAUGGAAUUCCGCGUGUAGCAGUGAAAUGCGUAGAUAUGCGGAGGAACACCGAUGGCGAAGGCAAUCCCCUGGGCCUGCACUGACGCUCAUGCACGAAAGCGUGGGGAGCAAACAGGAUUAGAAACCCCGGUAGUCC
rnacentral:rRNA from 1 species